rnacentral:lncRNA from 1 species
CUCUGGUUCUCCCACUAAGGAUGUUUCCGGAUCACCGUUUUUUCCAGUUGCAAUUACUCACACUUGUUUCCUUGGUGGCCUGAUGGAGGUGCUGGGCGCACACCAUUGCGAGACCUGGACGGAGCUGAGCAUUGUCUGCAAGGUCGCGGAUGCCUAACUCUCUUUCCAGAUGUGUCCUCAGGAGACGAGGGCCCAGAAGACCCCUGCAGUGUGAGCACGGAUCUGUCUGCAAGACCACACACAGCAUCAGCGGUUGUCCUCUACACAUCUCUAGCCCUGCCCAGCCAGGUCCUCCAAGGUUAACACAGACCUUUCCAUGCUUUUCAGAGGCGUUUGCAAGCUCUUCUGUCGUCUGGCUCUGGCUUGAAAACACUGUGCAGUGCUCUGGUCCAUUCAAAAUGUGA